rnacentral:ncRNA from 1 species
GACAGGUUUGGUCCUAGCCCUCUUAUUAGCUGUAAGCAAAAAUACACAUGCAAGCAUCAACGCACCAGUGAGAAUGCCCUCGAUGUCACCCACGACAAAAAGGAGCAGGUAUCAAGCACACCACCAUAAGGUAGCUCACAACACCUUGCUCAGCCACACCCCUACGGGAAACAGCAGUGAUAAAAAUUUAGCAAUAAACGAAAGUUUGACUAAGUUAUGCUACAUAGGGUUGGUAAAUUUCGUGCCAGCCACCGCGGUCAUACGAUUAACCCAAGUCAAUAAGCAUACGGCGUAAAAUGUGUUCAAGAUUUGACCCAACAAUAAAGCUAAACUCCAACUAAGCUGUAAAAAGCCUUAGUUACUGUAAACUCAAUAACGAAAGUAACUUUAAAAUAUCUGACCUCACGACAGCUAAGACCCAAACUGGGAUUAGAUACCCCACUAUGCUUAGCCCUAAACUCAGAAGAUUUAUACACAACAAAAUCCUUCGCCAGAGCACUACUAGCUAAAGCCUAAAACUCAAAGGACUUGGCGGUGCUUCACAUCCCCCUAGAGGAGCCUGUUCUAUAAUCGACAAACCCCGAUAAACCUCACCAAUCUUUGCCAAUCCAGCCUAUAUACCGCCAUCUUCAGCAAACCCCACAAAGGGACACACAGUAAGCUUAAACAUCAUACAUAAAAACGUUAGGUCAAGGUGUAGCCCAUAGAUUGGAAAGAAAUGGGCUACAUUUCCUAACACUCCAGGACAAUACACGAAAACUCUCAUGAAACUGCAGAGCUAAAGGAGGAUUUAGCAGUAAGUUGAGAAUAGAGCGCUCAACUGAAACAGGCCAUGAAGCACGCACACACCGCCCGUCACCCUCCUCAAACACCCCAGGUACACCUUAAACCUAUUAACAAUUACCACCCCCGUAAGAGGAGACAAGUCGUAACAAGGUAAGCGUACUGGAAAGUGCGCUUGGAUAACC